rnacentral:misc_RNA from 1 species
AAAAAAAACAGCUAAAAAAAAUAAAAUAAAAGAAAGAAAAGGCUAUUUGUGAAGUGUUUAGAUUGGGCUGAUGUUUCUUUUUUUACAAUUAUUACUUUUUAAUCUUAUAUUCAAUUCAUAUCUUAUAGAACACUCUAAAGCUUUUCCUUCAAGUGUAUGGAUGUAGACCUGUGUCGUCAAAAAUUAGGACAAGAAGCUCUAUCCGUACAAAUAUAUAGCAAGUACUAUUUUUGCCUAUGGAUCUUCAUUGGGCUAUUCAAGAACAUUACAAUAUCCAUUAUUAGUGGUUGUGGGGAUUUCUCCUAAAAACUCAAGCGAAGGCAGAAAGAAGGGUUGAUCCAAGUUUGGGAAUGAGAAAUGGGUAACAAGCAAAAUCAUACCAAAGGAAAAGGAUUAACCAUUAUUUUAGCCUUUGAACUUUGCCUAAAAGACCGUCUGUACACCUAGAUAAGGAAUUUUUGAUAUAACUCUUUUUUUUAGACACCAUUUUGUUUUAUUUAUGGCACCAAAUUCUUGAAGCGAAACCAAAGUAAGGCAACAGUUGGGUAUUGACCAAAGUCAUAUUUAAUUUGAUUAGCCUCAUAGAUUAAGAGAGAUGGUGAAGAAAACGUGUGCUAGCUCUUAAAGAAGUGGGCAUGGAGAUUAUGACUAUGCUAAGUUUUCUAAAUUGGACUUAAUAGUCUUGUAAGUACUAAUUAGGCAGCUCAAUUGGUAGAAAUAGAAGUUGAAGCUCUCAAUGGAAUUCGCAUAACAAAUGCAUUAAAAGGGUGUGCAAUGACCAAUAUUAUGUCUACAGGAGCAAGGUUUGUCUGUACAAAAAUUUGGCCUUGAUUUGUCUUCAGAAUAUGUUAUUUUCUUUUUUCCCAUCAUUAGAAAUAAAAUGUCAUUGAUGGGUUCCUCAUCUCACCCCUUGCUUUUUGUAAUACCAAAUGGGUCAUUGUUUGUAGAUGUUAUUUGUAGUAUUGACACAUGUUCUCUUGCGCACUAACACCCUUUCAAUUGAAGAGAUUGGACUGGUCAAUUUGAGCACCUGAUCCACUUUGGAAAGAAGAUACAUAUUAUGCCUAGCAUGAUUGAUUGAGUGGUACUGGGAAUCUUAAGAUUAAUAAGCCAACAUUUGCUCACUUGUGAUCAAAUAAAUGUGCAGGCAACACCUUAAACUUAUAAAUUAGCUUUUUGUGCAUUAAUAUAUUUGCAACAUAUGAUUGGAUAAAGAAGCAUUGCAAGUUGAAAGUAUUGUGCUUCAUUCAAUUAUUAAUAUAAUUACAUGCUUUAUUUGUUUAUAACAAGAUUUAUUAUUCCCAUGGCAAUAAAAAGAACAUAUAAAAAUAGAAAAAGCUUGCCUUGCUCUUCUUCUUUUUCCAUCUUUAAUUAAUUAAGCUAAUUGCCCUGUGCUUUGUAUUAAUUAUUGGUUGUCACAUGAAGACAUAUUUGAUUAGCCAUUUAACUUUGAGGCAUGAGAAUAUUAUGAAGGAUUUGUACUUUAUACCAUGCAUAUCUAGAACAAUCAUAUUUGUUCCUUGAAUUUUAG